GAUAGGUGCUCGAUCCGCUAUGACUUCAGAAGAGAACUUGUUGAGGAAGAAGGAAUCUGCAAAGAAAGCUGGAGUACAUUGAUAGGCUUGAGUGUUGCAUAUCUGGACGCCUUUGGCUCUGUGGAACACUUCGUCAGGUACAGAUGCUGCUCCGCGCAUAGCGCUUACUUUUCGAGUUGAAAGUGUCCUCCAUCUAACCACCGCGACACUCUGAGUCAGAAGAGAACCACUAUGUUGGCACGUCUCACACUUAAUUAGGCCACUAGAUCCACAGGUUGCACAAGGAAGUUUUCCCUUGCCAUCACAUUUUGC
rnacentral:misc_RNA from 1 species